rnacentral:rRNA from 1 species
GACGAACGCUGGCGGCGUGCUUAACACAUGCAAGUCGAACGGAAAGGCCCUGCUUUUGUGGGGUGCUCGAGUGGCGAACGGGUGAGUAACACGUGAGUAACCUGCCCUUGACUUUGGGAUAACUUCAGGAAACUGGGGCUAAUACCGGAUAGGAGCUCCUGCUGCAUGGUGGGGGUUGGAAAGUUUCGGCGGUUGGGGAUGGACUCGCGGCUUAUCAGCUUGUUGGUGGGGUAGUGGCUUACCAAGGCUUUGACGGGUAGCCGGCCUGAGAGGGUGACCGGCCACAUGGGGACUGAGAUACGGCCCAGACUCCUACGGGAGGCAGCAGUGGGGAAUAUUGCACAAUGGGCGGAAGCCUGAUGCAGCAACGCCGCGUGCGGGAAGACGGCCUUCGGGUUGUAAACCGCUGUCGCCUGUGACGAAGCGUGAGUGACGGUAAUGGGUAAAGAAGCACCGGCUAACUACGUG